AAUUCGCCCUUAGAGUUUGAUCCUGGCUCAGAUUGAACGCUGGCGGCAUGCCUUACACAUGCAAGUCGAACGGUAACGCGGGGCAACCUGGCGACGAGUGGCGAACGGGUGAGUAAUAUAUCGGAACGUGCCCAGUCGUGGGGGAUAACUGCUCGAAAGAGCAGCUAAUACCGCAUACGACCUGAGGGUGAAAGCGGGGGAUCUUCGGACCUCGCGCGAUUGGAGCGGCCGAUAUCAGAUUAGGUAGUUGGUGGGGUAAAGGCCUACCAAGCCGACGAUCUGUAGCUGGUCUGAGAGGACGACCAGCCACACUGGGACUGAGACACGGCCCAGACUCCUACGGGAGGCAGCAGUGGGGAAUUUUGGACAAUGGGGGCAACCCUGAUCCAGCCAUGCCGCGUGCGGGAAGAAGGCCUUCGGGUUGUAAACCCCUUAAUCAGGGAAGAA
rnacentral:rRNA from 1 species